rnacentral:rRNA from 1 species
GCAUAUCACUGAGCGCAGGAGAAGAAACUAACCAGGAUUUCCCUAGUAACGGCGAGCGAACCGGAAAGAGCCCAGCUUGAAAAUCGUGGCGCCCCGGCGCCUCGAAUUGUAGUCUGGAGAAGGUCCCUCUGCGGCGCGCCGGACCCAAGUUCCCUGGAAAGGGACGCCAUCGAGGGUGAGAGCCCCGCUGAUUCCGGAGUGCGCCGCUCCACGAGGACCUGUCUGCGAGUCGGGCUGUUUGGGAAUGCAGCCCUAAGCGGGUGGUAAAUUCCAUCCAAGGCUAAAUAUUGGCAAGAGACCGAUAGCGAACAAGUACCGCGAGGGAAAGAUGAAAAGGACUUUGAAAAGAGAGUUAAAAAGUGCUUGAAAUUGCUGGGAGGGAAGCGAAUGGAAGCUGCGGGUGCGCCCCGGUUGGAUGUGGAACGGCUGUCAAAGGCUGGUCCGCCGCUCAACGCGGGGCGCUGGUCAGCGUGGGCCAUCGCGGCGGGACAAGAGCGGGGAUUCGCUUCCCGCCGAUGCCGCUGCGGUGGCCGAGGAACGAAGCGCGCGCUCUUCAUGGGCGUGGGACUUGUCCCAACUGCGCGCUCGGGACGCUGGCGUAUUGAGCUCUUCAUCCGACCCGUCUUGAAACACGGACCAAGGAGUCUAACAUGUAUGCGAGCCGGUGGGCGGCAAACCCAUUGAGGCGCAAGUAACCUGACAGGUGGGACCCCGACCGCAAGGGAGGGAGCACCAUCGACCGACCGUGAUCUUCUGUGAAGGGUUC